UUUUUCGAGAGUUUGAUCCUGGCUCAGGAUGAACGCUGGCUGUGUGCCUAAUACAUGCAUGUCGAGCGGAGUUUAUUUAUAAACUUAGCGGCGAAUGGGUGAGUAACACGUACUUAACGUACCCUUUAGAUUGGAAUAACGCUGAGAAAUUAGCGCUAAUGCCGGAUAUUUAUUACCAACGCAUGUUGGUAAUAUCAAAGAAGCGUUUGCUUCACUAAAGGAUCGGGGUGCGGAACAUUAGCUAGUUGGUAAGGUAAAAGCUUACCAAGGCGAUGAUGUUUAGCGGGGUUGAGAGACUGAACCGCCACACUGGGACUGAGAUACGGCCCAGACUCCUACGGGAGGCAGCAGUAGGGAAUUUUCCACAAUGAGCGAAAGCUUGAUGGAGCGACACAGCGUGCAGGAGGACGGCCUUCGGGUUGUAAACUGCUGUUAUAAGGGAAGAAAAAGUAGUGUAGGAAAUGACAUUACCUUGACGGUACCUUGUCAGAAAGCAACGGCUAACUAUGUGCCAGCAGCCGCGGUAAUACAUAGGUUGCAAGCGUUAUCCGGAAUUAUUGGGCGUAAAGCGUCUGUAGGUUGUUUAUUAAGUCUGGCGUCAAAACUUGGGGCUCAACCCCAAAUCGCGUUGGAUACUGAUAAACUAGAGUUAUUUAGAGGUUAAUGGAAUUCCUUGUGAAGCGGUGGAAUGCGUAGAUAUAAGGAAGAACACCAACAUGGCGAAGGCAAUUAACUGGGAAUACACUGACACUGAGAGACGAAAGCGUGGGGAGCAAACAGGAUUAGAUACCCUGGUAGUCCACGCCGUAAACGAUGAUGAUUAGCUGAUGGACACCAUCGGCGCAGCUAACGCAUUAAAUCAUCCGCCUGAGUAGUAUGCUCGCAAGAGUGAAACUUAAAGGAAUUGACGGGGAUCCGCACAAGCGGUGGAGCAUGUGGUUUAAUUUGAAGAUACGCGUAGAACCUUACCCACUCUUGACAUCUUCUGCAAAGCUAUAGAGAUAUAGUGGAGUUUAACAGAAUGACAGAUGGUGCAUGGUUGUCGUCAGCUCGUGUCGUGAGAUGUUCGGUUAAGUCCUGCAACGAGCGCAACCCUUGUCCUUAGUUAAAUGUUCUAAGGAGACUGCCUAGGUAACUGGGAGGAAGGUGGGGACGACGUCAAAUCAUCAUGCCUCUUACGAGUGGGGCAACACACGUGCUACAAUGGAUAGUACAAAGAGAAGCAAGAUGGCAACAUGGAGCAAAUCUCAAAAAACUAUUCUCAGUUCGGAUUGAAGUCUGCAACUCGACUUCAUGAAGUCGGAAUCGCUAGUAAUCGUAGAUCAGCUACGCUACGGUGAAUACGUUCUCGGGUCUUGUACACACCGCCCGUCAAACCACGGGAGCUGGUAAUGCCCGAAGUCGGUUUUGUUAACUACGGAAACAACCGCCUAAGGCAGGACUGGUGACUGGGGUUAAGUCGUAACAAGGUAUCCCUACGAGAACGUGGGGAUGGAUCACCUCCUUU
rnacentral:rRNA from 1 species